GAUGAACGCUGGCGGCGUGCCUAAUACAUGCAAGUCGAGCGAACAGAUGAGGAGCUUGCUCCUCUGACGUUAGCGGCGGACGGGUGAGUAACACGUGGAUAACCUACCUAUAAGACUGGGAUAACUUCGGGAAACCGGAGCUAAUACCGGAUAAUAUAUUGAACCGCAUGGUUCAAUAGUGAAAGACGGUUUUGCUGUCACUUAUAGAUGGAUCCGCGCCGCAUUAGCUAGUUGGUAAGGUAACGGCUUACCAAGGCAACGAUGCGUAGCCGACCUGAGAGGGUGAUCGGCCACACUGGAACUGAGGCACGGUCCAGACUUCGACAGGGAGCAGCAGUAGGGAAUCUUCCGCAAUGGGGCAAUGCUUGACGGAGCAACGCCGCGUGAAUGAUGAAGGUCUUCGGAUCGUAAAACUCUGUUAUUAGGGAGAUACAAAUGUGUAAGUAACUAUGCACGUCUUGACGGUACCUAAUCAGGAAGCCACGGCUAACUACGUG
rnacentral:rRNA from 1 species